rnacentral:misc_RNA from 1 species
AGUCCUAGUUUUACUAUGAUUCCAACUCCAUUUCGACUCUUUUCAACCCAGGGUGCCUCAUCUUAUAACCCAUCUUACCAAUUUAUCUCACCUUGUCAACUCUCCUCAUCUUUAUGGUAUCCAACAAUCGCCAUUGUCUUAGUGGAUGGAUUAUAGAAGUCAUCAUAGGAGUCAAGUGAUGGAUUAUUAAUUUUUGGAAAAUAAAAGCCAUUUUCAAACUCCAGAACAUUUUGAAAACUUUGAGACCUAUUAUUCAAUUGAGUGCUAUUAAGCCCAUGAACUUUUUAAUUUAAGGAGUUAUUUAA